rnacentral:rRNA from 1 species
UUCCGGUUGAUCCUGCCGGAGGUUACUGCUAUCGGUGUUCGCCUAAGCCAUGCGAGUCAUAUGUAGCAAUACAUGGCGUACUGCUCAGUAACACGUGGAUAACCUGCCCUUGGGACCGGCAUAACCCCGGGAAACUGGGGAUAAUUCCGGAUAACGCAUAUGUGCUGGAAUGCUUUAUGCGUAAAAUGGAUUCGUCUGCCCAAGGAUGGGUCUGCGGCCUAUCAGGUAGUAGUGGGUGUAAUGUACCUACUAGCCAGCGACGGGUACGGGUUGUGAGAGCAAGAGCCCGGAGAUGGAUUCUGAGACAUGAAUCCAGGCCCUACGGGGCGCAGCAGGCGCGAAAACUUUACAAUGCGGGAAACCGUGAUAAGGGGACACCGAGUGCCAGCAUCAUAUGCUGGCUGUCCAGGUGUGUAAAAUACACCUGUUAGCAAGGGCCGGGCAAGACCGGUGCCAGCCGCCGCGGUAACACCGGCGGCCCGAGUGGUGAUCGUGAUUAUUGGGUCUAAAGGGUCCGUAGCCGGUUUGGUCAGUCCUCCGGGAAAUCUGAUAGCUCAACUACUACGCUGUCGGGGGGAUACCCGCCAGACUUGCAACCGGGAGACGUAAAUACGUAC